rnacentral:ncRNA from 1 species
GACAGGGGCGGUGCACCUGUCAAAGCCUAACGCAGGUGUCCUAAGGCGAGCUCAGGGAGGAUGGAAACCUCCCAUGGAGCAGAAGGGCAAAAGCUCGCUUGAUCUUGAUCAAGUGAGGGGUGUUGAGUGG